UGGGGAAUAUUGGACAAUGGGCGCAAGCCUGAUCCAGCAAUGCCGCGUGUGUGAAGAAGGCCUGCGGGUUGUAAAGCACUUUCAGUGGGGAGGAAGGCCUCAGUGUUAAUAGUACUGAGGAUUGACGUUACCCAAAGAAGAAGCACCGGCUAACUCUGUGCCAGCAGCCGCGGUAAUACAGAGGGUGCGAGCGUUAAUCGGAAUUACUGGGCGUAAAGGGCGCGUAGGUGGUUAAUUAAGUCAGAUGUGAAAUCCCUGGGCUUAACCUAGGAAUGGCAUAUGAAACUGAUUAGCUAGAGGACGGGAGAGGGAAGUGGAAUUUCCGGUGUAGCGGUGAAAUGCGUAGAUAUCGGAAGGAACACCAGUGGCGAAGGCGACUUCCUGGCCCGUAACUGACACUGAGGCGCGAAAGCGUGGGGAGCGAACAGG
rnacentral:rRNA from 1 species